CACACAACCACCGAACAGAGAUAUUGGGGUUGUCCCACAUCGGUUGUGGAAGGGGCUGGAGGUUAGUUUAUAAGUGUGAGGGAAAAUCUCAACUCUUGAGCUAGCUUUUGAGGUUGAGAGAGGCCCAAGACCACCCAACAUUGGUAUUAGAGCCCAGGUUUA